UAAUUCUGUGAGCAAUAGUUAGUUUUCUAAGCAACAUGAAGCAUACUAAUAUGCUUACAUUUUGGUGAUGAAAGCUUGACAACAGAGCAGAUUAUUGUAGCAAGUGAACAUGACUAAUGUCUAGAAGUUGCAAGAAAUUGGUAUGCUUUUGUAGGUCACUUUUGUUUUAAUAUGUUGCAGAGAAGGGGACAUUGUUAUAAUACUACUAGAAUUUGCUUUUUAUAUCUGCUCUGUGGGGAUGCCCUUAUGUUUAGAACUGAGAAUGUACAUUCAACGAAUGAGCUGAAGAUGGACUUGAUGAUUGUUUGAGUUGUGGUGUUCAAAGUUCACAAUACUGCUACUUCUCAUAUGUAGUUUUAGUCACCUCUUUUUACUAUGUUUUACUUCAUUCAUGAGGUUAUAUGUUUUCUUUGGAUAGAUCUCUAUUGAAAUUACAUGUCAGUAUAACAUGCAAUCCUGCCAACGUUUGGGUCUUCGUUGGUUUGGUUACAGAGAGCAGCUCAGUUAGUGAGAAAAAGAGAUAGAGAGGCGACAUCGAUUUCAACAUGGAGGUGGGAGUGCAUUGCCGGAUAGUAAGGUUAUUGAUUUUGGUUGUUGGUUUCAAAUCAAUCAAUUUCCCAUUUUUUUUUUAUGAAGGUUUAUAGAAAAUUUGAUCUGUGCAUCUGGGUUUUGUCAAUCUUGAGGAAAUCUAGUCGUGGCGCGUGGUGGAGCUGUUGAGGGAAUCCGGGGCUCAGAGAGCAGGUCACAAAGCAGCAGCAUAUAUCAGGAGGAAAUGGGUACGGGAAGGUUACAGACAAUCUGGUAUUUGUUUUGGUUGGUGAGAUUUACUGUUACUGUGAUUUUUGGUUUUAUUUUUUUUUUCUUUCACCUGGCUUGACUAUAAAUGUAUGAUGGUGAUGCAGAUGAAAGCUUUAUCGGGCUCUGAACCUUCAGAUUCUAUUCGGAUUCAUAGGUGGCAGGCUCAAGGAUUGAGUGCUGAGUGUUAGAACUUGUGUUUUGUUUUUCAUUUUUGGUGAACCUUGUCUUGUAAUUAUCUUCUAUGCUUCUGGACAUGAUCCCUUGGUGUAAGGGUUUUGCAAUUGUAUUAUAUGCAAGUUUAAAUCUUGUACAUACGCAACAGAUCAUGCUGAAAUGUUAUAAAGACAUCUUUU